UACACCGUAGUUAUUGUAGUAUGUUGUAUUCAUUUAAUAUAACAUAAAAAUUAAUGCACCUAUAUACAUAUAAUAUGUUCACUUUUUUCUAGAUGGCAUUUUUAGCUUGACUAAGAAGUACAACAGUUUCGGAAAUGACCCCUCAAAUUAUGGCAAAAUUAUUUCACAACAAUUUGCUGUGCAAAUUCUCAUAUAGCAGUAAAAAAAAAAAAUGAUUUUUUCUACUACUAAUUCAUGUUCCCCUUAUAUUUGAAGCCAUAUGAGAUGUUAAAAUUCAUAAAAAUUGUAUUGAUCCAGAGAUAUUAAAACCAGUGAACAUUUGUACGGCCAAUGCCAAGUUUUGAGAAGAAGAAAAAA